UACAGAGGGUGCGAGCGUUGUCCGGAAUCACUGGGCGUAAAGGGCGCGUAGGUGGUGGCUUAAGCGUGCGGUGAAAGCUCGGGGCUCAACCCCGAGUCGGCCGUGCGAACUGGGCUCACUGGAGCAUAGUAGAGGCAGGUGGAAUUCCGGGUGUAGCGGUGGAAUGCGUAGAGAUCCGGAAGAACACCGGUGGCGAAGGCGGCCUGCUGGGCUAUGGCUGACACUGAGGCGCGACAGCGUGGG
rnacentral:rRNA from 1 species